rnacentral:rRNA from 1 species
UUAAGUUAUUAAGGGCGCACGGUGGAUGCCUUGGCACUAGAAGCCGAUGAAGGACGUUACUAACGACGAUAUGCUUUGGGGAGCUGUAAGUAAGCUUUGAUCCAGAGAUUUCCGAAUGGGGAAACCCAGCAUGAGUUAUGUCAUGUUAUCGAUAUGUGAAUACAUAGCAUAUCAGAAGGCACACCCGGAGAACUGAAACAUCUUAGUACCCGGAGGAAGAGAAAGAAAAUUCGAUUCCCUUAGUAGCGGCGAGCGAAACGGGAAGAGCCCAAACCAACAAGCUUGCUUGUUGGGGUUGUAGGACACUCUAUACGGAGUUACAAAGGACGACAUUAGACGAAUCAUCUGGAAAGAUGAAUCAAAGAAGGUAAUAAUCCUGUAGUCGAAAAUGUUGUCUCUCUUGAGUGGAUCCUGAGUACGACGGAGCACGUGAAAUUCCGUCGGAAUCUGGGAGGACCAUCUCCUAAGGCUAAAUACUCUCUAGUGACCGAUAGUGAACCAGUACCGUGAGGGAAAGGUGAAAAGCACCCCGGAAGGGGAGUGAAAUAGAACCUGAAACCGUGUGCUUACAAGUAGUCAGAGCCCGUUAAUGGGUGAUGGCGUGCCUUUUGUAGAAUGAACCGGCGAGUUACGAUUUGAUGCAAGGUUAAGCAGUAAAUGUGGAGCCGUAGCGAAAGCGAGUCUGAAUAGGGCGUUUAGUAUUUGGUCGUAGACCCGAAACCAGGUGAUCUACCCUUGGUCAGGUUGAAGUUCAGGUAACACUGAAUGGAGGACCGAACCGACUUACGUUGAAAAGUGAGCGGAUGAACUGAGGGUAGCGGAGAAAUUCCAAUCGAACCUGGAGAUAGCUGGUUCUCUCCGAAAUAGCUUUAGGGCUAGCCUCAAGUGAUGAUUAUUGGAGGUAGAGCACUGUUUGGACGAGGGGCCCCUCUCGGGUUACCGAAUUCAGACAAACUCCGAAUGCCAAUUAAUUUAACUUGGGAGUCAGAACAUGGGUGAUAAGGUCCGUGUUCGAAAGGGAAACAGCCCAGACCACCAGCUAAGGUCCCAAAAUAUAUGUUAAGUGGAAAAGGAUGUGGCGUUGCCCAGACAACUAGGAUGUUGGCUUAGAAGCAGCCAUCAUUUAAAGAGUGCGUAAUAGCUCACUAGUCGAGUGACACUGCGCCGAAAAUGUACCGGGGCUAAACAUAUUACCGAAGCUGUGGAUUGUCCUUUGGACAAUGGUAGGAGAGCGUUCUAAGGGCGUUGAAGCAUGAUCGUAAGGACAUGUGGAGCGCUUAGAAGUGAGAAUGCCGGUGUGAGUAACGAAAGACGGGUGAGAAUCCCGUCCACCGAUUGACUAAGGUUUCCAGAGGAAGGCUCGUCCGCUCUGGGUUAGUCGGGUCCUAAGCUGAGGCCGACAGGCGUAGGCGAUGGAUAACAGGUUGAUAUUCCUGUACCACCUAUAAUCGUUUUAAUCGAUGGGGGGACGCAGUAGGAUAGGCGAAGCGUGCGAUUGGAUUGCACGUCUAAGCAGUAAGGCUGAGUAUUAGGCAAAUCCGGUACUCGUUAAGGCUGAGCUGUGAUGGGGAGAAGACAUUGUGUCUUCGAGUCGUUGAUUUCACACUGCCGAGAAAAGCCUCUAGAUAGAAAAUAGGUGCCCGUACCGCAAACCGACACAGGUAGUCAAGAUGAGAAUUCUAAGGUGAGCGAGCGAACUCUCGUUAAGGAACUCGGCAAAAUGACCCCGUAACUUCGGGAGAAGGGGUGCUCUUUAGGGUUAACGCCCAGAAGAGCCGCAGUGAAUAGGCCCAAGCGACUGUUUAUCAAAAACACAGGUCUCUGCUAAACCGUAAGGUGAUGUAUAGGGGCUGACGCCUGCCCGGUGCUGGAAGGUUAAGAGGAGUGGUUAGCUUCUGCGAAGCUACGAAUCGAAGCCCCAGUAAACGGCGGCCGUAACUAUAACGGUCCUAAGGUAGCGAAAUUCCUUGUCGGGUAAGUUCCGACCCGCACGAAAGGCGUAACGAUUUGGGCACUGUCUCAACGAGAGACUCGGUGAAAUCAUAGUACCUGUGAAGAUGCAGGUUACCCGCGACAGGACGGAAAGACCCCGUGGAGCUUUACUGUAGCCUGAUAUUGAAAUUCGGCACAGCUUGUACAGGAUAGGUAGGAGCCUUUGAAACGUGAGCGCUAGCUUACGUGGAGGCGCUGGUGGGAUACUACCCUAGCUGUGUUGGCUUUCUAACCCGCACCACUUAUCGUGGUGGGAGACAGUGUCAGGCGGGCAGUUUGACUGGGGCGGUCGCCUCCUAAAAGGUAACGGAGGCGCUCAAAGGUUCCCUCAGAAUGGUUGGAAAUCAUUCAUAGAGUGUAAAGGCAUAAGGGAGCUUGACUGCGAGACCUACAAGUCGAGCAGGGUCGAAAGACGGACUUAGUGAUCCGGUGGUUCCGCAUGGAAGGGCCAUCGCUCAACGGAUAAAAGCUACCCCGGGGAUAACAGGCUUAUCUCCCCCAAGAGUUCACAUCGACGGGGAGGUUUGGCACCUCGAUGUCGGCUCAUCGCAUCCUGGGGCUGUAGUCGGUCCCAAGGGUUGGGCUGUUCGCCCAUUAAAGCGGUACGCGAGCUGGGUUCAGAACGUCGUGAGACAGUUCGGUCCCUAUCCGUCGUGGGCGUAGGAAAUUUGAGAGGAGCUGUCCUUAGUACGAGAGGACCGGGAUGGACAUACCUCUGGUGUACCAGUUGUCGUGCCAACGGCAUAGCUGGGUAGCUAUGUGUGGACGGGAUAAGUGCUGAAAGCAUCUAAGCAUGAAGCCCCCCUCAAGAUGAGAUUUCCCAACUUCGGUUAUAAGAUCCCUCAAAGAUGAUGAGGUUAAUAGGUUCGAGGUGGAAGCAUGGUGACAUGUGGAGCUGACGAAUACUAAUCGAUCGAAGACUUAAUCAA